AUUGAACGCUGGCGGCAUGCUUUACACAUGCAAGUCGAACGGUAACAGGCCGCAAGGUGCUGACGAGUGGCGAACGGGUGAGUAAUGCAUCGGAACGUGCCCAGUCGCGGGGGAUAACGCAGCGAAAGCUGCGCUAAUACCGCAUACGAUCUAUGGAUGAAAGCGGGGGACCGUAAGGCCUCGCGCGAUUGGAGCGGCCGAUGUCAGAUUAGGUAGUUGGUGGGGUAAAGGCUCACCAAGCCGACGAUCUGCAGCUGGUCUGAGAGGACGACCAGCCACACUGGGACUGAGACACGGCCAGACUCCUACGGGAGGCAGCAGUGGGGAAUUUUGGACAAUGGGCGCAAGCCUGAUCCAGCAAUGCCGCGUGCAGGAAGAAGGCCUUCGGGUUGUAAACUGCUUUUGUACGGAACGAAACGGUCCUGGUUAAUACCCGGGGCUAAUGACGGUACCGUAAGAAUAAGCACCGGCUAACUACGUGCCAGCCGCCGCUGUAACAC
rnacentral:rRNA from 1 species